CAGAGGCCGCCCGCCAAGUUUGGUGCCAUUCCGAGUCCCGCGGACGAACUUCGCCCACGCCGCCCACCAAGGCUAUAGCCCACCCGUUUUUUGGCCAUUUUUCCGCUGGGGGGUCUUGGGACCCCGACCUUCGGGGGCUGAUUUUUGGGCGCGGCUGUGCCCGUGGCCUAUUUUUGGCACACAGAGGCCGCCCGCCAAGUAUGGUGCCAUUCCGAGUCCUGCGGACGAACUUCGCCCACGCCCCCCACCAAGGCUAUAGCCCACCCGUUUUUUGGCCAUUUUUCCGCUGGGGGGUCUUCGGACCCGACCUUCGGGGGCUGAUUUUUGGGCGCGGCUGUGCCCGUGGCCUAUUUUUGGCACACGGAGGCCGCCCGUCAAGUCCGGGGCCAUUCCGAGUCCCGCGGACGAACUUCGCCCACGCCCCCCACCAAGGCUAUCGCCCACCAGUUUUUUGGCCAUUUUUCCGCUGGGGGGUCUUGGGACCCCGACCUUCGGGGGCUGAUUUUUGGGCGCGGCAGUGCCCGUGGCCUAUGUUUGGCACACGGAGGCCGCCCGCCAAGUCUGGGGCCAUUCCGAGUCGCGCGGACGAACGUCGCCCACGCCCCCCACCAAGGCUAUAGCCCACCAGUUUUUUGGCCAUUUUUCCGCUGGGGGGUCUUGGGACCCCGACCUUCGGGGGCUGAUUUUUAGGCGCGGCUGUGCCCGUGGCCUAUUUUUGGCACACGGAGGCCGCCCGCCAUGUGUGGUGCCAUUCCGAGUCCCGCGGACGAACUUCGCCCACGCCCCCCACCAAGGCUAUAGCCCACCCGUUUUUUGGCCAUUUUUCCGCUGGGGGGUCUUGGGACCCCGACCUUCGGGGGCUGAUUUUUGGGCGCGGCUGUGCCCGUGGCCUAUUUUUGGCACACAGAGGCCGCCCGCCAAGUAUGGUGCCAUUCCGAGUCCCGCGGACGAACUUCGCCCACGCCCCCCACCAAGGCUAUAGCCCACCCGUUUUUUGGCCAUUUUUCCGCUGGGGGGUCUUGGGACCCCGACCUUCGGGUGCGGAUUUUUGGGCGCGGCUGUGCCCGUGGCCUAUUUUUGGCACACAGAGGCCGCCCGCCAAGUAUGGUGCCAUUCCGAGUCCCGCGGACGAACUUCACCCACGCCCCCCACCAAGGCUAUAGCCCACCCGUUUUUUGGCCAUUUUUCCGCUGGGGGGCUUGGGACCCCCACCUUC
rnacentral:lncRNA from 1 species